GACGAACGCUGGCGGCGUGCUUAACACAUGCAAGUCGAACGGAAAGGCCCUGCUUUUGUGGGGUGCUCGAGUGGCGAAAGGGUGAGUAACACGUGAGUAACCUGCCCUUGACUUUGGGAUAACUUCAGGAAACUGGGGCUAAUACCGGAUAGGAGCUCCUGCUGCAUGGUGGGGGUUGGAAAGUUUCGGCGGUUGGGGAUGGACUCGCGGCUUAUCAGCUUGUUGGUGGGGUAGUGGCUUACCAAGGCUUUGCCGGGUAGCCGGCCUGAGAGGGUGACCGGCCACAUUGGGACUGAGAUACGGCCCAGACUCCUACGGGAGGCAGCAGUGGGGAAUAUUGCACAAUGGGCGGAAGCCUGAUGCAGCAACGCCGCGUGCGGGAUGACGGCCUUCGGGUUGUAAACCGCUUUCGCCUGUGACGAAGCGUGAGUGACGGUAAUGGGUAAAGAAGCACCGGCUAACUACGUG
rnacentral:rRNA from 1 species